GCAGUCAUUGCGCAGGCACUUUGGUGACUCUAGAUAACCUCGGGCCGAUCGCACAUCCCCAUGACAGCGACAAAGCAGUUGGAUGUCUGCCCUAUCAACUUUCGAUGGUACUUUCUGUGUCUACCAUGGUGACCAUGGGUAAUGGGGAAUCAGGGUUCGAUUCCGGAUAAGGAGCCUGAGAAACGGCUACCACAUCCAAGGAAGGCAGCAGGCGCGCAAAUUACCCACUCCCGACGCGGGGCGGUAGUGAC
rnacentral:rRNA from 1 species